UUUUUCCUUGAGGUAAGUGAAGCAAUCUUCCUUAUGGGGAACUGCAUGCACCUGAUUACCUCAGUCUUAACAGAGAACUUUGCACGUUAGUUGACAAGACCUGUAUUGAACUGGUGAUUCAUUUGUGGAUGACAAAGUAAAAUUCAUUUGGCAAAAUUAUUCUAUGUUCCAGUGUUUUGCCUCAGAAUGAAUAAACAUUAAAAUUGCAGUGUAUUAUUAAUAAACACACAGAGACCCGUCAUUAAUUAGAAGGAAAUCUCAGAGAGUAGGCAACCCUGUUUUGCUAUUAAAUGGCAUUUUUCUUAGAACAGGAUGAUUCUGAAAUUCUAAGCAUAUGUGGCUCUUCUUUGAAACUAUCUUAAUGUCACUUUAAUAUAAUUAUAAUUACAUUAAAGGCAAGUACUAUCUGCUUAGGGUCAAUUUCUGCUUCUGUACUCAACACACUUGAAAAAGGUGAUGUUGUGUCUACACAAUGUACCUAGCUUAGAAUUUUGGAUCUGCAACUUGGAUGGCCAAAGCUGUUUGUUCAAGGACUAUUUCACAUAGGAAAGAAGACAAAAAUAUGUAGGCAAAAUGGCAACAGAAAUUCUAAUAUUGUUUCUAGAAGGUGAUAAGCAGGGCAGCACAGGGAAAAGUGUAGAGAUUUAUAGUGUCCUGCUGUGCAAGGUGGGAGAACUAGCACUGGGGAGUAAAGACUAGGACAGUUGAUGUUAUAAAAUCUUUGCAAAAAACUCUAAUUUUGUGCUGAGACUUAGCUGGGGUUUUGCUUGACUCUUACAUCAUGGUAAAGUGGAGGGCUGAUGGGGUACGUAUGAGAAAUAGCAUCUUCUAAGGUUUGGGCUGAUUAUGUUCAGUCUAGAUACCUAAAGGAUUCUAAGAUGCCUGUGGAUUCAUGUGAUACUAAAAGUCAGAUUCAGAGAAAAGUAUAUGUCUCUACAUAUAUGUGAAAUAAAUGUUACUGUGUCAGUUCUGAGAAAUAUGAUAGGCAGAGUACUUAGGUAUCUAAUUUAUACAUUAGCUUUAUUUACCAACAUUGUCUUCUCAAGAAAGAUAGCAGCAUAAUAUAUCUAAAUGAAACACUUAUUGCAGUAAAUAAGGCAUCUCCUUUAUGUACCGUAAAUUAAGAGUCCAAUAGAUAGUGAUGCCCUUUGUUUUAUCGAAAAACAGAACCCAAAUCAAAGAAACUUUAUCAUACCAAGAAUAGCUGAAUUAGUCAUAAUAGUACAGGAUUAUGCUAAGACAGCAAACUGCCUCAAAAUCUCAGUGGCUUAUCCUCUCUGCAAAAUUUUCUUGUGCAUGCAAAUUUCCUCCUAGGUUUCCUGACUCUCCACAGUAAUUAUCCUGUGGUGACUUAGGAAUCUGGGUUUUUUCAUCUUAUUUUUCCAUCUCUGCAAUGAACCUUCUCACUCGCUGGCAGAAAGUGGAAUGGAAUACUCAUAUCUGCUUGAAUGCUUUUGUCCAGAAGUGUUACUUCUGCUUAUAACCCACUCAACAGGAUUAAUCAUAUUGCUCUCUUAUUUAAAGUAGGCAAAGAAAUACAAAGUAGCACAUGGAAUAUUCAAUUCUGUGUGGAAAAGACUGUCUCAUCUGUGAACUUCAAUCUAUUAUUAGACUAUUCUAGAGCAAUGACAGGGAAAAUUUGGACACAGAAAUAGAUGUGCGUAGAAGAAGAUGUGAAAACACAGAAAGAAUGCCAUCUGUAAACCAAGAAACAUCUGAGGCUACCAGAAGAGACAAUAAUGGAACAGAUUCUCCCUCAUGAUCCUCAGAAGAAACAAAUCUUGUUGACUCCUUGAUUUUGGACCUCCAGCUUCUAAAACUGUGACAAUAAAAAUUUCUAUUGUUUAAGCCACCUA